rnacentral:snRNA from 1 species
AGCUUUGUGCAGUGGCAUAUCAUAGCCAUUAAGGUUUAUCCGAGGAGCAAUUAUUGCUCACUGAAAACUUUUCCCAAUACCCCACAGCGACAACUUGCAAAAUGUCUGUCUUGUC